rnacentral:rRNA from 1 species
GACGAACGCUGGCGGCGUGCUUAACACAUGCCAGUCGAACGGAAAGGCCCUGCUUUUGUGGGGUGCUCGAGUGGCGAACGGGUGAGUAACACGUGAGUAACCUGCCCUUGACUUUGGGAUAACUUCAGGAAACUGGGGCUAAUACCGGAUAGGAGCUCCUGCUGCAUGGUGGGGGUUGGAAAGUUUCGGCGGUUGGGGAUGGACUCGCGGCUUAUCAGCUUGUUGGUGGGGUAGUGGCUUACCAAGGCUUUGACGGGUAGCCGGCCUGAGAGGGUGACCGGCCACAUUGGGACUGAGAUGCGGCCCAGACUCCUACGGGAGGCAGCAGUGGGGAAUAUUGCACAAUGGGCGGAAGCCUGAUGCAGCAACGCCGCGUGCGGGAUGACGGCCUUCGGGUUGUAAACCGCUUUCGCCUGUGACGAAGCGUGAGUGACGGUAAUGGGUAAAGAAGCACCGGCUAACUACGU